rnacentral:lncRNA from 1 species
GACUGGGAGCCUGAUCCCAAGAGGCUGCUGAACUGGCCCCAGUCACCCACCUAUGUGCCAGAGUCAGGCCUGGCCGACACAAGGAUCUAUGCUUUUUCUGUGGUGUGUCACUGCCUUUUUAACAAAAGGGCUGUCAAAGUCACCAUUCUUUUUGAUGAGGGCAGCGUAAUUACAUUGCCUUUUGUCAGGACUGUGGGUAUGUGAUUUGUCUUCCACAGUCUCUCUGGGGCUGUGUCCUACAUAGCUUCUGACUCUCAAUUUUUGGUGCCAUGAGCUGAGCUCAGUGAGUGGAGCUGGCUUUUCUGUCGCUGAGUGCUACUGCCUAGUCCAGAUGUCGUGGCUCAGGGUGUAAAUAUUCCUAAGAAUGGCAGCAUCUAUUUCCUCUUUUGUUUGAAUUAAAGACUCUGAAUUUCUGCUGUAUAUUCAUUAAGUUGUCCUUGAGUGUUGUCAGAGGUAUGCUUCUGUCAGUCUGUUA